rnacentral:rRNA from 1 species
UUAAGUGACUAAGCGUACACGGUGGAUGCCUUGGCAGUCAGAGGCGAUGAAAGACGUAGUAACUUGCGAUAAGCCCAGAUUAGGUAGUAACAACCAUUUGAGUCUGGGAUUUCUGAAUGGGGAAACCCACGUGCAUAAGCACGUAUCCUUACCUGAAUACAUAGGGUAAGGAGGCGAACCGGGGGAACUGAAACAUCUAAGUACCCCGAGGAAAAGAAAUCAACCGAGAUUCCGAAAGUAGCGGCGAGCGAAAUUGGACUAGCCCUUAAGCUUUACACGCGUUAGACGAACGGUCUGGAAAGUCCGACGAUACAGGGUGAUAGUCCCGUAGUUGACGACGUGUGUUCAGUGAAAUCGAGUAGGGCGGGACACGUGAUAUCCUGUCUGAAUAUGGGGGGACCAUCCUCCAAGGCUAAAUACUACUGACUGACCGAUAGUGAACCAGUACCGUGAGGGAAAGGCGAAAAGAACCCCUGUGAGGGGAGUGAAAUAGAACCUGAAACCGUGUACGUACAAGCAGUAGGAGCAGGCUUUGUCCUGUGACUGCGUACCUUUUGUAUAAUGGGUCAGCGACUUAUAUUCAGUGGCAAGGUUAACCAUCUAGGGGAGCCGUAGGGAAACCGAGUCUUAACUGGGCGUUCAGUCUCUGGAUAUAGACCCGAAACCAGGUGAUCUAGCCAUGGGCAGGUUGAAGGUUGAGUAACAUCAACUGGAGGACCGAACCGACUAAUGUUGAAAAAUUAGCGGAUGACUUGUGGCUAGGGGUGAAAGGCCAAUCAAACCUGGAGAUAGCUGGUUCUCCCCGAAAGCUAUUUAGGUAGCGCCUCGGACGAAUACUACUGGGGGUAGAGCACUGUUAAGGCUAGGGGGUCAUCCCGACUUACCAACCCUUUGCAAACUCCGAAUACCAGUAAGUACUAUCCGGGAGACACACGGCGGGUGCUAACGUCCGUCGUGGAGAGGGAAACAACCCAGACCGCCAGCUAAGGUCCCAAAUUACUACUAAGUGGGAAACGAUGUGGGAAGGCUCAGACAGCCAGGAUGUUGGCUUAGAAGCAGCCAUCAUUUAAAGAAAGCGUAAUAGCUCACUGGUCGAGUCGGCCUGCGCGGAAGAUGUAACGGGGCUAAGUAGUAAACCGAAGCUGCGGCAAUGUGCUUUUGCACAUUGGGUAGGGGAGCGUUCUGUAAGCGGUUGAAGGUGUGUGGUAACGCAUGCUGGACGUAUCAGAAGUGCGAAUGCUGACAUGAGUAACGAUAAAGGGGGUGAAAAACCUCCUCGCCGGAAGACCAAGGGUUCCUGUCCAACGUUAAUCGGGGCAGGGUAAGUCGACCCCUAAGGCGAGGCCGAAAGGCGUAGUCGAUGGGAAACGGGUUAAUAUUCCCGUACUUCUUACAAUUGCGAUGGGGGACGGAGAAGGCUAGGUGGGCCUGGCGACGGUUGUCCAGGUUCAAGUGCGUAGGCUUAAGAGUUAGGUAAAUCCGGCUCUUUUUAAGGCUGAGACACGACGUCGAGCAUCUACGGAUGUGAAGUCAUUGAUGCCAUGCUUCCAGGAAAAGCCUCUAAGCUUCAGAUUGUAAGGAAUCGUACCCCAAACCGACACAGGUGGUCGGGUAGAGAAUACCAAGGCGCUUGAGAGAACUCGGGUGAAGGAACUAGGCAAAAUGGUACCGUAACUUCGGGAGAAGGUACGCUCUCGACGGUGAAGUCCCUCGCGGAUGGAGCUAUUGAGAGUCGCAGAUACCAGGUGGCUGCAACUGUUUAUUAAAAACACAGCACUGUGCAAAAUCGUAAGAUGACGUAUACGGUGUGACGCCUGCCCGGUGCCGGAAGGUUAAUUGAUGGGGUUAGACUUCGGUCGAAGCUCUUGAUCGAAGCCCCGGUAAACGGCGGCCGUAACUAUAACGGUCCUAAGGUAGCGAAAUUCCUUGUCGGGUAAGUUCCGACCUGCACGAAUGGCGUAAUGAUGGCCACGCUGUCUCCACCCGAGACUCAGUGAAAUUGAAAUCGCUGUGAAGAUGCAGUGUACCCGCGGCUAGACGGAAAGACCCCGUGAACCUUUACUACAGCUUGGCACUGAACAUUGACCCUACAUGUGUAGGAUAGGUGGGAGGCUUUGAAGCACGUACGCCAGUAUGUGUGGAGCCGUCCUUGAAAUACCACCCUUGUAGUGUUGAUGUUCUAACGUCGACCCCUUAUCGGGGUUGCGGACAGUGCCUGGUGGGUAGUUUGACUGGGGCGGUCUCCUCCCAAAGAGUAACGGAGGAGCACGAAGGUGGGCUAAUCACGGUUGGACAUCGUGAGGUUAGUGCAAUGGCAUAAGCCCGCUUGACUGCGAGAAUGACAAUUCGAGCAGGUGCGAAAGCAGGUCAUAGUGAUCCGGUGGUUCUGAAUGGAAGGGCCAUCGCUCAACGGAUAAAAGGUACUCCGGGGAUAACAGGCUGAUACCGCCCAAGAGUUCAUAUCGACGGCGGUGUUUGGCACCUCGAUGUCGGCUCAUCACAUCCUGGGGCUGAAGUCGGUCCCAAGGGUAUGGCUGUUCGCCAUUUAAAGUGGUACGCGAGCUGGGUUUAGAACGUCGUGAGACAGUUCGGUCCCUAUCUGCCGUGGGCGUUGGAAGAUUGAAGGGGGCUGCUCCUAGUACGAGAGGACCGGAGUGGACGAACCUCUGGUGUUCGGGUUGUGUCGCCAGACGCAUUGCCCGGUAGCUAAGUUCGGAAUCGAUAACCGCUGAAAGCAUCUAAGCGGGAAGCGAGCCCUGAGAUGAGUCUUCCCUGAUACUUUAAGUAUCCUAAAGGGUUGUCGGAGACUACGACGUUGAUAGGUCAGGUGUGUAAGUGCUGUGAGGCAUUGAGCUAACUGAUACUAAUUGCCCGUGAGGCUUAACCAU